rnacentral:rRNA from 1 species
AUUGAACGCUGGCGGCAGGCCUAACACAUGCAAGUCGAACGAGUGGCGGACGGGUGAGUAAUGUCUGGGAAACUGCCCGAUGGAGGGGGAUAACUACUGGAAACGGUAGCUAAUACCGCAUACCAUCGGAGGUGCCCAGAUGGGAUUAGUUAGUAGGUGAGGUAAAGGCUCACCUAGGCGUCGAUCCCUAGCUGGUCUGAGAGGAUGACCAGCCACACUGGAUCGAGGACACGGACAGGAAUCCGACGGGAGGCAGCGGUGGGGAAUAUUGCACAGUGGGAGCAAGCCUAAUGCAGCCAUGCCGCGUGUAUGAAGAAGGCCGUCGGGUUGUAGAGUACUUUCAGCGGGGAAGCGUUACCCGCAGAAGAAGCACCGGCUAACUCCGUGCCAGCAGCCGCGGUAAUUC